UACAGAGGGGGCAAGCGUUAUUCGGAAUUAUUUGGGCGUAAAGGGCGCGUAGGCGGCUUGGCAAGUGGAAGGUGAAAUCCCUCCGGCUUAACCGAGGAACUGCCGUCCAAACUGCUUCGCUUGAGACCGGGAGAGGUGAGUGGAAUUCCCAGUGUAGCGGUGAAAUGCGUAGAUAUCAGGAGGAACACCAAUUGCGAAGGCAGCUCGCUGGAACGUAACUGACGCUGAGACGCGAAAGCGUGGGGAGCAAACAGG
rnacentral:rRNA from 1 species